rnacentral:rRNA from 1 species
CCUACGGGAGGCAGCAGUGGGGAAUAUUGGACAAUGGGGGCAACCCUGAUCCAGCCAUGCCGCGUGUGUGAAGAAGGCCCUCGGGUUGUAAAGCACUUUCAGUGAGGAAGAACGCCUGGUGGUUAAUACCCAUCAGGAAAGACAUCACUCACAGAAGAAGCACCGGCUAACUCCGUGCCAGCAGCCGCGGUAAUACGGAGGGUGCGAGCGUUAAUCGGAAUUACUGGGCGUAAAGCGCGCGUAGGUGGCUUGAUAAGCCGGUUGUGAAAGCCCCGGGCUCAACCUGGGAACGGCAUCCGGAACUGGCAAGGUAGAGUGCAGGAGAGGAAGGUAGAAUUCCCGGUGUAGCGGUGAAAUGCGUAGAGAGCGGGAGGAAUACCAGUGGCGAAGGCGGCCUUCUGGACUGACACUGACACUGAGGUGCGAAAGCGUGGGUAGCAAACAGGAUUAGAUACCCGAGUAGUC